UUGAUAGAAGAGAUUGUACUUGACAAAGCUUUGGAGAAGGAAAGAGCAUAUACAAGCAGAGAAGUCAGGACAUACUUAAGAAGGAUCAAAAAACCACCAAAAGAAAGAAAUCAACUCUUCCACCCAAACAAUCUAUUUCUAAUACGGGUAUGAACCGGAUCCCAAAGCAACAAUCGCCGAGGAUCACCACCAAUAGGAAGGCCUAGAUACAAAAAAAGACACCUUGCUCGCCGUACAAGUGGUUGUUGUUGCUAUUGAUAGCUAACGAAAUUUUCGACAUUUUGGUACCAGUUUCAUGAGUUUUGGUUCAGUAUUAAGUUCUGGAGGCAACUUUGAAGUAUGGGGUCUGAUGCAGAUUUUUGAAGUAUGAAUAGGCGAGGAGAUGCAGAAGAGAAAUAUUAAGUGGAGUUCGCAUAAGCCGAACUUAUCAUCAUACUCAAAUUUAGAGGUAGGUAAUAAAUUACCUACUGAUGGUAAUCAAUUACCAGAAGCUUCUGGUGCCCAAAAAUCACUUCUGACCUUGGUAAUAGGUUACCCAAUGAUAGUGAUUUAUACCAACCUUACAUUUAGCAUAAAUCACUUUAUGAAACACUAGUUUUGCUUUUAAAGAUUUUAAAUUUCAUUCCACGGAUCAUUUCAACAUUUUAUGGAUCUUUUAAGAGUGAAUCAAGAUUUAACACAUGAUUAAUACGAUAUAUUAAAAGAGUGUUCUCAUGAAGAAUCAUUAGUAACGCGGGUAGAUUCUAACAUUAAGGAAAUGGGGGACUUAGUAUGAGACUUGAUUUAAAUAAUCGAAUUUAGUACAACCAAGAUAUUAGAACAUAUUAGAUAUAUGCUACAAAAUUUAUAUCCAGAUACUUAUAUAUACAUGUCGACAAGUUGUGGCUCAGGUAAGCACCAGACUAUGUUAGGAUAGGUCAACCCAUCAGGGAACCUUCAUGAUGACUCGUACAUAUAUAUAUAUAUAUAUAUAGACACACACACAUACAGAUAAUGUAAUAAUAAAUAUUUCGUGUCCCUCAGCAGGUUCUGAUGGAUGGGUUUAUCAUAGAUGGUAAACCACACGUAGUCAGAGGAAUUCCGGUGAUUAGCCUCAGAUAGGAGUUUUCAUCGGAUAGCAGUGGGAUGGUGACCGACGUUACUCCACUCAGGAUCCAUUCAGUAAAAUCAAUCCAGAUAAAAAUUGUUUGUUCAACACUUAGCUUAUAACAUUAAUAUGAAAACAGAAUACAAAUAUGUUUAUGCAUCAGAGCAGACUUAUGAUAGAGCACCGUAACAAUCCUAGUUUUUCCUUGAUCGUUCAGUUAUGUAGAACAGAACUGUAUAAACCCAAACAGGUUGAGCUUAGUCAGAUGGCAAUCAUAGGUUUUCCCCGAGAUUGCCUACAACCUAGGAUAGGUGGAACUCACUGAGACAUCAUGCCUCAUCCCAAUCCUUUCAUUUUAUUUUACAGAUUAUCAGGUUGCUCGUAUCAAGAGGAGGCAGAUAUGCAGGUGAAUGGAUUAUCGUCAAUAACUCGUUUCGUACCAAUUCUAGAUAUUUUAUGUAUUCGAAUACUUAUUAGAUAUAUGUAUUUGGCAGUUGAUAUUUUAUCAGAUGUAUAAACUUGUAAGGUAUAUAGUCAUUGAAAAGAAAUUAUGCUGUAAUUUUAAUGUAUCCAGUAUUAAGUUUAACACA